rnacentral:lncRNA from 1 species
UUAUUUUGUAUCUAAAAAUUAUCUGUCUCAGAGCAAAGCUAACAUUGCUUUAAUUAGCUUUAUAGGCAGAAGUGUUGACAUGGAUUAUUUAUAGUCAGAAAUAUUCUAAGUGCCUUCCCACAGGGAAUGGCAACAGAAAUUAUGUUUCUUCUUCUCACUGGGAUAUCUUGUAGCCAUUAAAAAGAAUGUUUUUGUAGGUUAUGUAAUAUCAUGGAAAAACGCUCAUGGAAAUGUUUAGUGGAAAAAAGCUGAGUAAGACUACAAUUUUAUAAAAGGAAAAAAAGUAUGAAUAAUAGUCUGGAAGAAAAAUUGCUGAAAUGUUAGCAAUGACUGUGAUUGUGAAGACUAUGGAUGGUCUAUUUUCUCAUAUUAUCUUCUUCAUUCCCAAUAUUCUUAAAGCUAAUAUGAAAUAUUUUUGAAAAAAAUCUACAAAAGCAAAGACUCUCUGAAAAAUUACAUUUGUAAUCUGGAUAUAAUUUAAAGAGUUAGUCUUGGGCAACAUGACUGAGGCUAUGAUACUUCUCAGCCCCUGCAAAGGGGGAGGAACUCUCUAAAGUUCUAAAACUGAAGAGUUGUCAGUGACCUCAUCUAUUAUGAAAAUCACUGAAGACUCUGAUGGGGACCACAGGGGAAGAGUCCAGAAGCAUUGGUCAACCAGAGCUUAUUCCUGGAACCAAAUUCAGGAAAAUGGAUACGCGCCCUCACCCACUGCACUCUGGGAAGAACAAACUCCUGGAUUACAAAUAUAGACAACUGGAUUUUUCUGGGUCGGCCCUGGUGAAUACCACCUGCCAAAGAUUGCUGUGGAAACAGAUUUUGACCCCCAGCCAAAAUGUUGGCCCCAUGAAGGUAAGGACUGUGUUUGUCUUAUGGCUUUAUGCUCAGCAAUCAGCAUACCUGCCAGUAUACACAGGAAUCACUUAG